rnacentral:rRNA from 1 species
AGUGAACGCUGGCGGUAGGCCUAACACAUGCAAGUCGAACGGCAGCACAGUAAGAGCUUGCUCUUACGGGUGGCGAGUGGCGGACGGGUGAGGAAUACAUCGGAAUCUACUUUUUCGUGGGGGAUAACGUAGGGAAACUUACGCUAAUACCGCAUACGACCUACGGGUGAAAGCAGGGGAUCUUCGGACCUUGCGCGAUUGAAUGAGCCGAUGUCGGAUUAGCUAGUUGGCGGGGUAAAGGCCCACCAAGGCGACGAUCCGUAGCUGGUCUGAGAGGAUGAUCAGCCACACUGGAACUGAGACACGGUCCAGACUCCUACGGGAGGCAGCAGUGGGGAAUAUUGGACAAUGGGCGCAAGCCUGAUCCAGCCAUACCGCGUGGGUGAAGAAGGCCUUCGGGUUGUAAAGCCCUUUUGUUGGGAAAGAAAAGCAGCAGGUUAAUACCCCGCUGUUCUGACGGUACCCAAAGAAUUAGCACCGGCUAACUUCGU